rnacentral:rRNA from 1 species
AGAGUUUGAUUAUGGCUCAGGAUGAACGCUGGCGGCGUGCCUAACACAUGCAAGUCGAGCGAUUCUCUUCGGAGAAGAGCGGCGGACGGGUGAGUAACGCGUGGGUAACCUGCCUCAUACACAUGGAUAACAUACCGAAAGGUAUGCUAAUACAGGAUAACAUAAGAGAUUCACAUGGAUUUCUUAUCAAAGCUCCGGCGGUAUGAGAUGGACCCGCGUCUGAUUAGCUAGUUGGUAAGGUAACGGCUUACCAAGGCGACGAUCAGUAGCCGACCUGAGAGGGUGAUCGGCCACAUUGGAACUGAGACACGGUCCAAACUCCUACGGGAGGCAGCAGUGGGGAAUAUUGCACAAUGGGCGAAAGCCUGAUGCAAGCAACGCCGCGUGAGUGAUGAAGGCCUUCGGGUCGUAAAACUCUGUCCUCAAGGAAGAUAAUGACGGUACUUGAGGAGGAAGCCCCGGCUAACUACGUGCCAGCAGCUGC